UCUGUAGUUCUAUGGNAUGGGGACUCUGUCCUCCUGCUGUGGUUCUGCAUCUUUACAACACACAAUGUGAUAGAGUCUCAUGGAAUGUACACCGCGUUUAACGCAAUACAAUACAACUUUCAGCAACGGAUCUCUUGGCUCUCGCAUCGAUGAAAAACGCAGCGAAAUGCGAUAAGUAAUGUGAAUUGCAGAAUUCAGUGAAUCAUCGAAUCUUUGAACGCACCUUGCGCCCUUUGGCUAUUCCGAAGGGCAUGCCUGUUUGAGUAUCAUGAACACCUCAACUCUCAUGGUUUGCCAUGAUUAUCUUGGACUUUGGGGGUUUUGCUGGCCUGAGGUCAGCUCUCCUCAAACGAAUCAGCUUGCCAGCGUUUUGGUGGCAUCGCAGGUGUGAUAACUAUCUACGCUUUGUGGAUUCCCACCAAGCAACCUUCAGUGAUAUGAAGGUUCGCUGGAACUUAUAAAAUGUCUCUCUCA
rnacentral:rRNA from 1 species